rnacentral:rRNA from 1 species
ACGAACGCUGGCGGCGUGCUUAACACAUGCAAGUCGAACGGAAAGGCCCUGCUUUUGUGGGGUGCUCGAGUGGCGAACGGGUGAGUAACACGUGAGUAACCUGCCCUUGACUUUGGGAUAACUUCAGGAAACUGGGGCUAAUACCGGAUAGGAGCCCCUGCUGCGUGGUGGGGGUUGGAAAGUUUCGGCGGUUGGGGAUGGACUCGCGGCUUAUCAGCUUGUUGGUGGGGUAGUGGCUUACCAAGGCUUUGACGGGUAGCCGGCCUGAGAGGGUGACCGGCCACAUUGGGACUGAGAUACGGCCCAGACUCCUACGGGAGGCAGCAGUGGGGAAUAUUGCACAAUGGGCGGAAGCCUGAUGCAGCAACGCCGCGUGCGGGAUGACGGCCUUCGGGUUGUAAACCGCUUUCGCCUGUGACGAAGCGUGAGUGACGGUAAUGGGUAAAGAAGCACCGGCUAACUACGUG